ACUCGGGUGAAGGAACUAGGCAAAAUGGUACCGUAACUUCGGGAGAAGGUACGCUCUUGAUGGUGAAGUCCCUUGCGGAUGGAGCUGACGAGAGUCGCAGAUACCAGGUGGCUGCAACUGUUUAUUAAAAACACAGCACUGUGCAAAAUCGUAAGAUGACGUAUACGGUGUGACGCCUGCCCGGUGCCGGAAGGUUAAUUGAUGGGGUUAGACUUCGGUCGAAGCUCUUGAUCGAAGCCCCGGUAAACGGCGGCCGUAACUAUAACGGUCCUAAGGUAGCGAAAUUCCUUGUCGGGUAAGUUCCGACCUGCACGAAUGGCGUAAUGAUGGCCACGCUGUCUCCACCCGAGACUCAGUGAAAUUGAAAUCGCUGUGAAGAUGCAGUGUACCCGCGGCUAGACGGAAAGACCCCGUGAACCUUUACUACAGCUUGGCACUGAACAUUGACCCUACAUGUGUAGGAUAGGUGGGAGGCUUUGAAGCACGUACGCCAGUAUGUGUGGAGCCGUCCUUGAAAUACCACCCUUGUAGUGUUGAUGUUCUAACGUCGACCCCUAAUCGGGGUUGCGGACAGUGCCUGGUGGGUAGUUUGACUGGGGCGGUCUCCUCCCAAAGAGUAACGGAGGAGCACGAAGGUGGGCUAAUCACGGUUGGACAUCGUGAGGUUAGUGCAAUGGCAUAAGCCCGCUUGACUGCGAGAAUGACAAUUCGAGCAGGUGCGAAAGCAGGUCAUAGUGAUCCGGUGGUUCUGAAUGGAAGGGCCAUCGCUCAACGGAUAAAAGGUACUCCGGGGAUAACAGGCUGAUACCGCCCAAGAGUUCAUAUCGACGGCGGUGUUUGGCACCUCGAUGUCGGCUCAUCACAUCCUGGGGCUGAAGUCGGUCCCAAGGGUAUGGCUGUUCGCCAUUUAAAGUGGUACGCGAGCUGGGUUUAGAACGUCGUGAGACAGUUCGGUCCCUAUCUGCCGUGGGCGUUGGAAGAUUGAAGGGGGCUGCUCCUAGUACGAGAGGACCGGAGUGGACGAACCUCUGGUGUUCGGGUUGUGUCGCCAGACGCAUUGCCCGGUAGCUAAGUUCGGAAUCGAUAACCGCUGAAAGCAUCUAAGCGGGAAGCGAGCCCUGAGAUGAGUCUUCCCUGAUACUUUAAGUAUCCUAAAGGGUUGUCGGAGACUACGACGUUGAUAGGUCAGGUGUGUAAGUGCUGUGAGGCAUUGAGCUAACUGAUACUAAUUG
rnacentral:rRNA from 1 species